rnacentral:rRNA from 1 species
UAUUCUUAUACUGUUAUAUAUAUAUAUAUUUAAAUUAAAUAUUUUUAUUUAUAUGUUUAUUUCUUUAUAUAUAUAACUAACCUUUAUUAAGGUACCAUAUAAGAUGGUUAGUUUCGAUGGGGCGUCGGCAUCACAAAACAUAACUGAUGUGUCUAAAUGAUAUUUUAUAUUCCCUUAUAUUUUAUUACUUUUUAGUUUUAUUUAUAAGGCCAUCAUCUUUUUAAGAUAAUAAUAGAAUAAAUAAGUACAGAUACACUAGUUGGCAACUAGUAUUAAUUAAUAUAAUAUUAUUUAUUAUAUUAUUCCUCAUUUUUGAUGUGGAAUCAUAUAUGUAAUACAUAUAUAAUUAAUUUUAUUUAUAAGGAUAAUAACAUAACUGUGCUAUGAUAAUGACACAUACUUGUGGAAUUAGUACUUAAGUAUAGUAUAUUGAACAGGCAAUAUCAUUAGAAUUGAGUGUCGAUUACG